rnacentral:misc_RNA from 1 species
UCUGGGUACGACUCAUAUCCCA